GACGAACGCUGGCGGCGUGCUUAACACAUGCAAGUCGAACGAUGAAGAGGAGAAACGCGCACUUCGGUUCAAAUUUCACUUCGGAUUAGUGGCAGACGGGUGAGUAACGCGUGAGCAACCUACCUCUUACAAAGGGAUAGCCUCGGGAAACCGUGAUUAAUACCAUAUGACACAUUCAUAAGGCAUCUUAAGAAUGUUAAAGCUACGGCGGUAAGAGAUGGGCUCGCGUCCCAUUAGCUAGUUGGUGAGGUAACGGCCCACCAAGGCGACGAUGGGUAACCGGCCUGAGAGGGUGAACGGUCACAUUGGAACUGGGACACGGUCCAAACUCCUACGGGAGGCAGCAGUGGGGAAUAUUGCACAAUGGAGGGAACUCUGAUGCAGCGACGCCGCGUGAGCGAUGAAGGAAUUCGUUUCGUAAAGCUCUGUUCUAUGGGAAGAAAAGGACUGUACCAUAGGAGAAAGCCCCGGCUAAAUACGUG
rnacentral:rRNA from 1 species